AUGGCCAAGGUGGCAGCCUGCCCUGACCCUCAGGCACUCUGUCCCAGGGAGAAAUUAGGGCUCUGUUAGCUGGUAGAAUAUGGGUGGGGGUGGCUAGAGGCCCCAGCUGGGAGAACACCAGUGGGAGGGCCUGCCCUGUAAGAAGGAGUGAAUCAAGGUCCUGCUUAAAGAAUCAGUCUUGUCACACCUCAACAAAACAGCUGUGUUGUGUUGGGGAACUUCCUCAGUGGAAUGAUUGGUCUGAUUACUUUGCCAUUACUAGAAGAUGAGUGUGUUUUACUUUUUUAUUGAAUGUCCAAAAUAUGGUAUACUCUCUAUAAAAAAUCCAUAUUUAUAACUAUUCUGAUUUUGAAUAAGGGAAGACUAUUGAAUGAAUUAAUGAAAUAUGGGGGUUUCACGUUUCAUUUCUCUGGACAAUGUUUUAUUUACUUAAUUAAAGGCCUCUGUUUUGUGUAUAAUGCUCUGCAAACAAACAUUUUAAUUGUACAGGUAUGUUUUAAUUUUUUCUAUUCUAUUUGUAGUUCAAGACUUGACAAAAAUGUUAUUUUCACCAUGAACCUUUUUUUGAUAUCUCCAGGCAAAAUAGUUGUUUUCUCUUUAGGAUCUCCAUAUUUAUUUUACAGUCUUAA
rnacentral:lncRNA from 1 species